GUGUUGUAUGAAAGGAGAGAAGGUUAGCACUCCCCUUGACAAGGAUGGACGAGGCCCUCAGGCCUGACAACACACAUACAGUUAAGGCAUUGCACCUACUUCGUGGCAUGUAACCAAUGUUU
rnacentral:ncRNA from 1 species